GGCCCAGUGGUGUAGUGGUAACACAUCCUGUACCCAUCAAAGAUAGGGACUGAAGUUCUGGAGGAAGUGCCCUGUUCGAUCCGGGGUUGGGUCA